GCAGCAUUUCACUAUGUUGCCCAGGCUGGUCUUGAACUCCUGGGUGCAGGUGGUCCUCCUGCCUUAGUAUCCUGAGUAGCGGGGACUCCAGGUGCAUGUUACCAUGCCCAGCUGUAUACAAACUUAUUGAGUACCCCCUAUGUGCCAGGCUCUGUGACACAACGGUGAACAAAAGAAGCACAAAUCUAUACAUUUGGAGGGCUUAUAGUGCAGAGAAGAAGUUCUCAUAAAAAUUGCUGGGGGUCACUAAGCCCAGCUAGCUAAUUUUUAAUUUUCUGUAGAGACAAGGUCUUGCCAUGUUGCCCAGGCUGGUCUUGAACUCCUGGGCUCAAGCAAUGCUCCUAUCUCAGCCUCCCAGUGUGCUGGGAUUACAGGCAUGAGCCACCACACCCAGCCCUGAGGUGGAUUUUUUUUUCAAUAGAGAAAAUCUAAGAGGUAAUACCAGUAGGCAAAUGCUUAAAUGGAUUACAGACUGGAAAACAAGAUGGCAGCAAACCAAGAUACAUUUUUUUGGUCAACAAAUGAUGUUGGAAAAUGCCUGGAAAACAUGAGUGAAAAUGUGAACAGACAAUCAUUAGAACGAAUUAUUCAGCGGGAAGUUUGCCACACAAUUGGAUGAAACUACAAGAUAUUAUUACUGUAUCUGGAAAAGGUUAUGUUUCAAAGAUGAAGUGCACAAAGAACUCCUUUUUCAUGAGCCACCAAAGAAAGGACUACCAGAGAAGGUAUUUUCUCAACUGUAAAUGACCUCUUUAAUUAAAACAAUAUGUUAUUGAAAAAAAAUUGCUGGGGGUGUCUUUUAAAAAUGCUGACGUGUGGACCCACCCUUAGAAGUCUGGAUUCUGCAGUUGUGGGCGUAGGUCCAGGAGUCUUCAUGUCGUACAUGCACCAGAGGGUUCUGCUGUAGGCCUUUUGAGACUGCACUGGUGAAUAUAUGCAAUAACCAAUAUAUGGUUAUUGCUGAUUGGAGAGGGAUUAGUAGUGACUUUAAUUUUUUUUUAUUCCUUAUGUUUUGUAAAUUUCUACUCUAAGUAAGAUUUUUUUUAAUAAUUAGAAAAAAGUAAACAUUUUAUAUGUUUAAAUAUGCAGCAUCUAUGCCCCUCCUGUCUGCCUUCCCCUAUGCCCAGCACAAUUCUCAUUUCUUGCACAGUAACAGAAGAACAUCACACAGACUUCAGAUUAGGAAACGCCUCUGGAAUGGAUGAUGGGGGCUGUGAUUCUCAGAUAGCUGUAAAAUCACAAAGAGAAGGUAGAAAAUUUCUUGCCCAAAUCAUCUGCUUUUGUUUGAAUGUGCUCCAGCCCUGUCUCUCUUAGGCAAAUAAACCUCUUUAAAGAUGCAUUUCAUUUGCUUUCUUUUUCUUGCAAAUUCUCUUGACCUUGAGAUGUAUCCAGUGGCUCUGGUAAUUGGUGCAGUUUCCAGAGUCAUUUGUAUGGACAUUGUGUAAUGCAGACGUACAGGGAGAAAUCUCCACAGUCAUCC
rnacentral:lncRNA from 1 species